ACUGACGGUUCAGAUGCGAAAGCGUGGGGGAGCAAACAGGAUUAGAUACCCUGNGUAGUCCACGCCGUAAACGAUGUCUACUUGGAGGUUGUGGCCUUGAGCCGUGGCUUUCGGAGCUAACGCGUUAAGUAGACCGCCUGGGGAGUACGGUCGCAAGAUUAAAACUCAAAUGAAUUGACGGGGGCCCGCACAAGCGGUGGAGCAUGUGGUUUAAUUCGAUGCAACGCGAAGAACCUUACCUACUCUUGACAUCCAGAGAAGCUUGAAGAGAUUCGAGUGUGCCUUCGGGAACUCUGAGACAGGUGCUGCAUGGCUGUCGUCAGCUCGUGUUGUGAAAUGUUGGGUUAAGUCCCGCAACGAGCGCAACCCUUAUCCUUGUUUGCCAGCACUUCGGGUGGGAACUCCAGGGAGACUGCCGGUGAUAAACCGGAGGAAGGUGGGGACGACGUCAAGUCAUCAUGGCCCUUACGAGUAGGGCUACACACGUGCUACAAUGGCAUAUACAGAGGGCAGCAAGACCGCGAGGUGGAGCGAAUCCCAGAAAGUAUGUCGUAGUCCGGAUCGGAGUCUGCAACUCGACUCCGUGAAGUCGGAAUCGCUAGUAAUCGUGGAUCAGAAUGCCACGGUGAAUACGUUCCCGGGCCUUGUACACACCGCCCGUCACACCAUGGGAGUGGGCUGCACCAGAAGUAGAUAGCUUAACCUUCGGGAGGGCGUUUACCACGGUGUGGUUCAUGACUGGGGUGAAGUCGUAACAAGGUAACCG
rnacentral:rRNA from 1 species